rnacentral:rRNA from 1 species
AGAGUUUGAUCCUGGCUCAGGACGAACGCUGGCGGCGUGCCUAAUACAUGCAAGUUGAGCGCUGAAGGUUGGUACUUGUACCGACUGGAUGAGCAGCGAACGGGUGAGUAGCGCGUGGGGAAUCUGCCUUUGAGCGGGGGACAACAUUUGGAAACGAAUGCUAAUACCGCAUAAAAACUUUAAACACAAGUUUUAAGUUUGAAAGAUGCGAUUGCAUCACUCAAAGAUGAUCCCGCGUUGUAUUAGCUAGUUGGUGAGGUAAAGGCUCACCAAGGCGAUGAUACAUAGCCGACCUGAGAGGGUGAUCGGCCACAUUGGGACUGAGACACGGCCCAAACUCCUACGGGAGGCAGCAGUAGGGAAUCUUCGGCAAUGGACGAAAGUCUGACCGAGCAACGCCGCGUGAGUGAAGAAGGUUUUCGGAUCGUAAAACUCUGUUGUUAGAGAAGAAUGUUGAUUAGAGUGGAAAAUUAAUCAAGUGACGGUAUCUAACCAGAAAGGGACGGCUAACUACGUGCCAGCAGCCGCGGUAAUACGUAGGUCCCGAGCGUUGUCCGGAUUUAUUGGGCGUAAAGCGAGCGCAGGUGGUUUAAUAAGUCUGAUGUAAAAGGCAGUGGCUCAACCAUUGUGUGCAUUGGAAACUGUUAGACUUGAGUGCAGUAGAGGAGAGUGGAAUUCCAUGUGUAGCGGUGAAAUGCGUAGAUAUAUGGAGGAACACCGGUGGCGAAAGCGGCUCUCUGGACUGUCACUGACACUGAGGCUCGAAAGCGUGGGUAGCAAACAGGAUUAGAUACCCUGGUAGUCCACGCCGUAAACGAUGAGUGCUAGUUGUUUGGGGCUAUCCAGCCCUAAGUGACGCAGCAAACGCAUUAAGCACUCCGCCUGGGGAGUACGACCGCAAGGUUGAAACUCAAAGGAAUUGACGG